rnacentral:rRNA from 1 species
CCUGGGAACUGCGUUNUGAACUGGGUAGCUAGAGUAUGUCAGAGGGGGGUAGAAUUCCACGUGUAGCAGUGAAAUGCGUAGAGAUGUGGAGGAAUACCGAUGGCGAAGGCAGCCCCCUGGGAUAAUACUGACGUUCAUGCUCGAAAGCGUGGGUAGCAAACAGGAUUAGAUACCCUGGUAGUCCACGCCCUAAACGAUGUCGAUUAGCUAUUGGGCAGCUUGACUGCUUAGUAGCGUAGCUAACGCGUGAAAUCGACCGCCUGGGGAGUACGGUCGCAAGAUUAAAACUCAAAGGAAUUGACGGGGACCCGCACAAGCGGUGGAUGAUGUGGAUUAAUUCGAUGCAACGCGAAGAACCUUACCUGGUCUUGACAUGUACGGAACCUUCCAGAGACGGAAGGGUGCCUUCGGGAGCCGUAGCACAGGUGCUGCAUGGCUGUCGUCAGCUCGUGUCGUGAGAUGUUGGGUUAAGUCCCGCAACGAGCGCAACCCUUGUCAUUAGUUGCCAUCAUUUAGUUGGGCACUCUAAUGAGACUACCGGUGACAAACCGGAGGAAGGUGGGGAUGACGUCAAGUCCUCAUGGCCCUUAUGACCAGGGCUUCACACGUCAUACAAUGGUCGGUACAAAGGGUAGCCAAGCCGCGAGGCGGAGCCAAUCUCAUAAAACCGAUCGUAGUCCGGAUUGCACUCUGCAACUCGAGUGCAUGAAGUCGGAAUCGCUAGUAAUCGCAGGUCAGCAUACUGCGGUGAAUACGUUCCCGGGUCUUGUACACACCGCCCGUCACACCAUGGGAGUGGGGGAUACCAGAAGUAGGUAGGGUAACCGCAAGGAG